AGUGAACGCUGGCGGUAGGCCUAACACAUGCAAGUCGAACGGCAGCACAGUAAGAGCUUGCUCUUACGGGUGGCGAGUGGCGGACGGGUGAGGAAUACAUCGUAAUCUACUUUUUCGUGGGUGAUAACGUAGGGCAACUUACGCUAAUACCGCAUACGACCUACGGGUUAAAGCAGGGGAUCUUCGGACCUUGCGCGAUUGAAUGAGCCGAUGUCGGAUUAGCUAGUUGGCGGGGUAAAGGCCCACCAAGGCGACGAUCCGUAGCUGGUCUGAGAGGAUGAUCAGCCACACUGGAACGGAGACACGGACCAGACGCCUACGGGAGGCAGCAGUGGGGAAUAGUGGACAAUGGGGGCAAGCCUGAUCCAGCCAGACCGCGUGGGUGAAGAAGGCCUUCGGGUUGUAAAGCCCUUUUGUUGGGAAAGAAAAGCAGCAGGUUAAUACCCCGCUGUUCUGACGGUACCCAAAGAAUAAGCACCGGCUAACUUCGUG
rnacentral:rRNA from 1 species